UGGAGCCAUAUUCUCCCUCUGAGCUAACUAUACAAUCUACUGUCUUUCCUAAGGAGACAGUCAGAUCACCUGUUCCAAUUGACGCUGGGUUACCUGGACUCAAGACAUCUGUUGUGGAUCAUCUCUCUUUUGUGCUUUGGGAUGCCAGGCCCAUGAUUCCACUGCUGCUGUGACAUGUGUGAGGUCUCUGUCCUGCUCUGUGGAGAACACUAUGCUGUCCCUUGAUGUGAUUCCCAGAUGAUGUCAAAGGACUUACCAAUAGGGAGCAAGAGCCUUCUGGAUGGGCAUCUAGCUGUCAGUGGUGGGAGAAGAAGGAUGCUGCUGAUGGGCACCGUAACUGUUUGCUGCACAUGCAAAUACCAAUACUUCCAUAGAGACACAGUAAUACUAGAUAUGCAGCUCUGGCCAAACCUUCUGACAGAUCACUGAGCCUGUAGCAUUUGCAUCAGAUGAUCCUUACCAUUCAGCAACAAGGAACUGCAGAGUUUGCAGUCUUCAUUCCAGCCACACGGGAUCCAACAGGCAAGGCUCAUUGUUUUAGCCCCACUGCCCCAUUGUCAAAGCUGACCAACAUUUUAUUAAAAGAAGAAAUCAUUUCAUAACUGGGACAACACACUUUCUUCAGUUUAUAAUGUCAGAAGAUGGAGUAUAAGGGUGGCAUUCUGGAAUCUUGGAGGGGAGAGCAGGUUUUGGCAUAGCUGUAAAAAAAAAAAAGCAGCACUGGCAGCACAGAGGGAUGGAUGUUUCUGUUGGACACUGCUGGGAUCCCUAUACUUGAUUCUAAAUGCCUUGAAAGGACAGCAGUGCUGAGGCAGGUCAGAUUGUAAGAGGAGAUGUGCGUGAAAUGUAUAAAUAAAAUUAUAGGGAGAUUAGAAAAAGUUGAAAGAGAUUACUUUUCAGCAGUGCAGGAUGCCAAGUCCAGACUAGAAUCAAUAGGUAAUAGAAUAAAAGUAAUACACAGCAGGCUUCAGGCAAAUGAAAGAACACAACACACACCCCAUCACCAUCACUUUCUAUGGCAUUUGUUGCCACGUAUAGUGAGAGUGUGUUAAACAAACAGCUAAUGUACAGGGUAGCUCUAAAUCUUAAACUGACAGAUAAUAGAUGAAAGGAUCAGCCUGCUAUUUUAUUUAUGUAUUUAUUAUUUAUUUAAAGCCUUUGUAUUCUGCCUUUCCACCAAGUACUGGCCUCUGAGCAGCUCACAACCAAGCUGAAAACAAUCAAUUACAACUGCAUUACAAGUAAGCAAAUUCUGCAGCCAAUAAACAUCAGGAAGUAAAACCUUUAAGCCAGCCAGUCAUCAACCACAUGUUGCCAAAAGCCAGUGCAGAAAAGAAUAUUUUUAACUUGCAUCUAAAAGAAAGCCAAGUAGAUGGCUGACAGAUGUGCAGAUAAAUAUUAUUCCAAAAUCUGGUCACUACCACAGCAAAGGCUUGUCUCUGGAAGCCACCCACCUAAUUUCUGAAGAGGGGCACCCAGAGCAGGACAUUAGAAAAUCUUAAUACACGGGCAGGUUCAUAUUGGAACAGGUAGCCCUUCAGGUAUGCCAGUCCUAGACUGUAAAGGUAUGACUUUAAAGGUAAGACCCAAUGCUUUGAUCACCUGGAAAGAAAUGGUACACUGUGAAGGUCUAAGUACCAGUGAAAUAUUGAAUCUAUAGGCUCCUAUUUGUUGCCAUACCUUGCUGCCAUAUUCUGUACCAGUUGAGGUUUCCAGACAUUCAUGCUGAAUGCAUUGUAAUACUCCAACGUAUUACAAAAUGUAUUUACAAAAAAAAAUGGGCAGGGAAUAACUUUGGUAAAGAUCAGGGUCUUUCUUUCUUUCUUUCUUUCUUUCUUUCUUUCUUUCUUUCUUUCUUUCUUUCUUUCUUUCUUUCCUCCCACUUUGCUAAUAGCAGUUGCCAUUAGUGUCUUUUGCUGACAUAAAUGUCUUCAAACAUCCAGAUCUGACUAAUGUCACCAACGGGACACUGGACAUGAUAGCCUCUUGGUCUGACCCAGCAUAGCCGGUCUUGUGUUACUUGAGCCCCACAUGACGACAGAUUUCCAGGACAAAUGCCAAGUGUAAUGUAGGCCGUUACAUUUUGGCAGAGGGGAGGGCAGGAAUUGAGAGAUGCAGAGAUUCGGAAUUGAGCUUUCUUGACCCACCCAUUGAUUUGUUGUGCUUGUGACUUCAUCCUGUUGCUGGAAUUCACAACUGUGCUCUCUCUGCUGAGUGGGCAUGGCUGCAGGACCAAUGCUCUCUGUCUCCCUGUAGACACCCAGCAUCUCCUGCCAAUAGUUCAGCUCUUGUCACAGCAAGAGGGAGCUUGUAGAAACUGUCUUGUGAGUCACAAAAAUCCAUGUGUUGCUCUAAGCUCCAGCAGCAAUGACCUUGGAAGAGAACAGCUUUUCCUGCUAAACGCAUGCAAUUUGCUUCAUUGGUGCCUGGCUGCAGGCAACUGCCACACCACUGGUGGUCACCAUAGUGAGGGCUGUAACCCCAGUCACACACAGGCCAGCAUCCCUGGAGCUUCACUUUUCCUUCCUAUGUGCAGAAAGUGUAAUUCAGAGUCUUGCGAACCCUCUGACAGAGUGAGGGGAGGAGCACUUUGGAGCUGGUCCAUGAAUGCUAACAAAAGGGCUUGUGUUCACUAGCUUCAGCUGCUAUAGCAACAUGGCUAUGGAUGAAGGGAGUUAGCUGUCCCAUCUUGCAACUCUUCGGUGCUUUAGAGAAGCAAGUGCAGGCAGAGGAGCAAUGGAUUCUUGCAGCCAGUAGGGCAGGCAAGAGUGGGAUUCUCAGGCUCUCAUCUCCCUGCAACAGACUGUGGCAGUGGGGACUGCUUGUAAUCUUGACAGUCUCUAUCCCUACUCACACAUUAUGCUUGACACACGUGCAGUCUGUGUACCUGCUGCAUUAUAAUAAAUGUUGAAAUUCACCAGAAUUCAAAUGGUCUCAGAUUUUCAUUUUAGCUCUAGAUUUUUCCUACUUCCUUUGGUGAUCACAGAUUGUCACAGCUAGAGAGAGUGGCUACCAUCCAGACUAGUACUUCUGUGAGCAGAGGAGGUUUAGUCAUGCAAGGUGGGAAGAGUGAUUUUGCUGACCACCACCACCCCACUUCCUUCACAAGCCCCUGUGCCCCCCAUCUGCUUCUGAGAGCCCACCAACCCUCAGGGGGACUUUUUUUUUUUUUCGGCAGGGGAGGACACGGGACUACAGAGGAAAGGGAGAAACAGUGAAAAUUGUCCCUCUCACUUCCUGCAAGCAGCCCAUCUUCUGUUUGUAAAAUUACUAGUUUGAAUACUAACCAGCAUGUUAGGUGGUACUGCGGUGCAUCCAAUGCUAGUUGAUAUCCAGACUAAGGCAUGUCUUGUGUGCAAUGAGGUAAAGGUGAUUUUGAUGAUUUCCUUUCCCCCCUUUGCAGCCCUCUGUGCUUCUUGGAAAAAAAGUUCCCGAGGGCUGCAAAAUGAAACAUUAAGCACACACAUAUUAGUCUGGGUGUCAGUCACUCUUUCUUUUUGAUGACUCAACAUAAGCAUCUUACUCACAUGUAGUGGCUACUUUAUUUGUGAUUAGGAAAGAAUUUUCACUGAGGUCAGAUUGGUUAGUAACACUGAGUUGUCUGAAAGACAGGGGUUGGCUCUUUGUACAGUGAGUGGCGUGAUGAUAUGGCUUACUUGCUUGGCUCACCUGAUCCUAUUUGCUUUGCUUCCCCACCCCCCACCCCACCCCGCGAGUGCCUGCUCACUGCUUGAGGCACACUGUGCGGGGAAUGAUGGAGGGAAGCUGAUGGGUGGAUGGCCCCGAGGCGGGAUUGGAAUGCAGGCCGUGUAGUCCCUUCCAGCACUGCUCUGCUAUAUGCAUGGCCAUUAACUAAAAACCCUGAGAUUAGUUCUGUCUUUGAAUAAUAAUAAUCCAUGUGAUUAGCUGACAAUACAGGAUUUAGAGAAGCAGAAAAGUUAGAUUGCUGGUAAUGGAGCUGUUACAGGUCUUCUUGUCUAGCAAGCCUUUCCCACCACUUUCAUUGUCUGUAGUAUUCUGAAAAAGGCUGCCAUAUCCCCUAUGCCAAAUGGUGAGACAGCUGCAGAGCUUUUCAAUUGCUAGUCUCCAAAACCAUGAAAAAAGUGGUGAUCCACUCCCCCGCCUACUGCCCCCAAAUGGAGCCGUACAAUGGAAUAUGUUGAAAGGAAAGCAGACCUCUUUAUAUCUUCUGACUUAAAUUCUUCUACCACCAAAAGGCUGACCAUGCAAGCUGAGAUGUAUGAAAUGUGAACAUAUAAAACAGCCAUAAGUAGAUCAUUGGUCUAUCUAGCCCUGUGCUAUCAGUUCCAUGGCAGACUCUUUGAGGCAAAGGCUUUUCUCAGUCCUGCUACCUGAGAUUUUUAUUUUUUUUUAACUAGGGACAUCAGGAAUUGAACCUGGAAACUUAUGCAUGCAAAGCAUGGACUGUACCACUGAAUUAUGACUCCUAAAACAUGGCAGAACUUGUCAAGCAAUUGCAGAGGUGAAGGGAAGAAAAUGACAAGUUAGCAAUAAUUGGUCUGCAGAUAUCAUCCAUGAUGAAAGUGUGUCACACACAAUAAAAUUGCUUGUAUUGCUUUCCACUAUUGCCAUGAAUUGAAUAAUCUUCCUUGGCACAUGCUGAUAAUGGAGCUUAUAUUCCAGCAGACUGAUGUUAUUAGCUGAUUACCUUUCAUGGCUGCAAAACAAACAGGGCAAGUGGUUUGUAUGGUUCAGGUGAGGCAAUGAUAUUCCACUUUGCCAUACACACCAUUAGUUCAGGGGGAAAGUAGUGCAUACAUAUUCUGUUCUGAGCUCUAGGGUCAAUGAACCCACCCACCCACCGGAAUGGAUUCAUCAUUAGCACCAUACCUAUCUCCCCUCAAUCUCCCCUUACAUGCUGUGCCUCAGAGAGGAAGGAGGUGGUCACUGCCCAAUAGUAUCGUUUGCUUGAGCUGCCGCAUUGUUCCCUUAACGUUUUUAGAUAAGCAGCUGCGUACCUGAACAUGAUAGGUCAUAGAAUCAGGCUAUUUCGAUUGGCCAACAGGACCCACAGCCCUCUAGCAAUGGAAGGAGGGCUGCGGAUCAGCAAGCAGCCUUCAGUGUCCUUGCUUUGAAGGCUGCUUUGUGCAGUGGCCAAGAGUGGAGAGGGAAGGAGAGCUAUUAUUGUGUCUUUCUCCUUCCUCCAGAAGCCCUUUCUGCUGGUAUAAAUCUGUUCCAGAGGGCUAUAUGGCCUUUGGGAACAGAUUUGUACAAGUAGAAAGGGCUUUUAGAGGGAAGGGGGAGAGACAAAAAUCACUCCCCCUCCACACUUGGCUCACUGUGCAAAGCAGCCUUCAGCGCAGGGCUGCUUGCAGCUCCAAAGGCUUCUUUCUGUCACUAGAGGGCUGUGAGUCAUGUCAGCCACUAUGGAUAUCAGCACCAUGUUUUUGAUAUGAAGAAUGAUAAAAAGCAAAAUAAACAAAACUUGAAGUUCCUAUUACUAGCCACUAGUGAGUGCUUAAUUUUGUUUAUUGCAUUGGCAGUACCUAUUAUACCAGCAUUGACAACAGCCAGCAGGCCAUCAGCAGCUGUCAUGGAAAUGUGCAAUGGUCCUGCAAAAGAAGUAGCAGCAGCCAGCAACAAUCCUUGCAAAAGUAGGCAUCUAUAAUACACACAACUAAAUGAGCAGCAAGCUGUGGAUGUGGAUUGAAUGCAUCUGUGCAGCAUUCUGUGAUUGUGUUAUCAUUAAACACAUGCCCUACAUACAGCUCAAGCCACUUUCAGAAGCUUUGCAAUGGUGCUGCAUUUAACCCAGUUUUGGUUGUGUGAAUUUAGUCUCAGAUGAUGCUGAAUUGAACUUGAGGGAACACAAAUACAAAGCAGCAGUUCUUAUGAUUUGAUGCUUAAAUACAUGAGCAUUUUCUGAUUAAUCAAAGUUAGUCUCUGUAGGUUUGUGCCAGAAACAUGCUUGCUCUCUCUUCAGUGCUACUCAAGGGGGUGUGGUGUUUGCUUCCUCCCCAACUUUCCUUCUCCAAGUGUGUUUUCCUCAGUGCCAUCUACUGGCUAAAAGUUAGAACAGCUGGUAGGGUGUGUGACCUCAAAAAACCUUGCUUAGCUGCUUAUUACCCAGCUGCUGCAUUACCAUACAGAUAUUAGCAAAUGAAACACACUACUUUUAUGUAGAAUUAACCAGGCAUUAAACUCAGGAGCUGCCCAUCAUAAUGCUCUUGCUGAAAUAUCAAGUAAACCUUAAAUGGCUCAAAAAUACAUUAAAAUUGUGUUCACUUCCAAAGCAAUAAUCCAAUAGUUUUCUUAAAUACAAGAUAAAACGCACCAGUGCUAAAAUUUCACCACCAUUUUAGUAUUAGAAUUACCACCAGGAACAACCCUUUGCACUUCAGCAAUAAUUACUCCUCGGUAAGGUACAGCAAAUGCUGGAAAGUGCAUAUUUUAUAGAGCAGACAACUGCAAAACUUGAAUUCUUUAUUCCUUUCCUAUGCUGGAUAGGGUUAAAAUGAUCUUGUCUGUGUUUUGCUUUCAUUCUCAUCUGAGCAAAUGAUUGAGAAGAUAGCCAUUAACCUAUAGCUUUAAUACAGAAAUAUAUGAAUGAACAAGGGACUUUUACACACAGCGACUGUUUACGGGGAGGCUUUACUGUGAACUCAGUAAAAAAAAAAACACCCAAAAAACCCCCUACACAAAUGGAUUUUUUAACCCCAGAUAUGAAUCGGGCUACACUCUAAUGUGCAGUGAAAGCCCAAAUUGUGUGUGAACAGCUACCCGAUGACUCGCAGGGACUUUGGGGUCAAUCUGGCUGAUAUGUGAACGCACCCCUUCCAUUCUGGAGGAGAUGCGAGUUAAAGGGCUUAAAAAGUGCCAUGUGAAAAACUUCCAGGAGUAACUGGUUUUAAGGGUUUUGAAUUUAACUUGCCAGUAAAAAAAGCUUUGCUGCCAUAACAGAACAUCUGUGCACAUACACAGAGAUGGCCAUUUUAAAAAGAAAAGGACCUUCAGAUGUUAGGCCAGCAGCAACCAUAGAGAGGACCUUUUUGACUGUGACACUCCCCAACAGUGGAAUUAUCUCCUCGAAGAGGCUUGCCCGGUGUUUGCAUUGAGUUUUUAAAAAUAUCCAUAGAGUUGUUUUAAUCAGUCUCUUGAUAGUGCUGUUUCCUUUUGAUGAUGAUGAUGAUUGUAAAAAUUGCAUUAUUUUGCUGUUGAUUUAUUUUUAACUUAUUGCAACAGCUUCCUUGAUAAUAUAUUUAUGAGAAAGGUGCAGGAUAUAAAUGCUUAAAUAAAAUGAAUAAUAACCA